CCCUCUCGGCCGCCACCACUAAUCCUCUUGGAUCCCCUCAUUCCAAACCCCCCUCGAAACCUCCCUCUGCCCGAUCCAACCAACCAGUGCUCCUCCUUCGAUCCCGAGUGCAGCCACCUACCCAAACUCUGAGAAUCCCCACGAUCCUACCCGCGCCUCCCCUGGAUCCCCUCGUCCAGCCAUCGCCCCGUGCCCCACGCUCAUGCUCGUCUUCCACACACUAACGGGAGAGGAGCUCCCGAUCCGUGUGUCCAAGGCGUCCUCGUCGCCGUUGCUCGAGCCUCCUCCGGCAGCCGUCGCUGGCGACCACCUGCAUCGAGCCACCAAGUCCGCCGCCAAGGUCCUGCCGGGAGCGACACCGCCCGGAUCCGACUGUCUCUGCAUCGUCCGUGCCCCUGCCUCACCAUGGACGCGCCUCCCCAGCUUGCCGGAGUCCGAGCGGCCCGCCUGCUCCCCUGAUGCUGCCGCUAUCAGGCUCUGUCGAAGACGGCAAGCCCCGCCUCAUCUGUGCCCAGAUCUGCCGCGGGCUGCCCUCAGAACGGAGUUCCACUGCCACCUAGCCUCGGAUCCGGCCGGUUCCUGUACGCCCCCGCCGGAGCAAGUCCCAUCACCGCCGGCACCAGUGCUACCCUGUUUCCCCUGCAUCUCCUCCGCUUCAGGUCGAACAGCAAGGAGCUCGUCCGGUCCAGCCCCGCGCCUGACCGCGCUGGCCAGCUGCGUGGGCCGGCCUCCUCUUCAGCUGUGGCCCAGCACCGCUUCCAGCUAAGCCCAGCCGCGCGCCCCUGCCGGCCUCACCUCUUCCACCGACUUGGGCUUGGCCCAUGGUGAGGCCCACUGCAGCGCCUCUUUUUUUUCUUUCUUUCUUUUAUGCUGGCCCAACAUGCUUAGAUUUGGCCUGUUUAGGUUUUUCCCCAGAUCUGUGAAUUUAGUUAUUUUUCCAGGAUCUGUGGUUUUGCAGAAAAACCCUUGUACAUCAUGCAUAUAAUAACUUUUCACCCGUUCAUCGGAACCCAAUAAACUUUAUAUGUAAAAUGCUUAGAAUUUUGUGUAGAUCAAUAAUAUGCAAUUUUCAACCA